GCCGGAGUGGCGAAACUGGUAGACGCGCCAGACUCAAAAUCUGGUGAUGGCAACAUCGUGUCGGUUCGAGUCCGACCUCCGGCACCA
rnacentral:tRNA from 1 species